GAUGAACGCUGGCGGCGUGCCUAAUACAUGCAAGUCGAGCGAACAGACGAGGAGCUUACUCCUCUGACGUUAGCGGCGGACGGGUGAGUAACACGUGGAUAACCUACCUAUAAGACUGGGAUAACUUCGGGAAACCGGAGCUAAUACCGGAUAACAUGUUGAACCGCAUGGUUCAACAGUGAAAGACGGUCUUGCUGUCACUUAUAGAUGGAUCCGCGUCGCAUUAGCUAGUUGGUAAGGUAACGGCUUACCAAGGCAACGAUGCGUAGCCGACCUGAGAGGGUGAUCGGCCACACUGGAACUGAGACACGGUCCAGACUCCUACGGGAGGCAGCAGUAGGGAAUCCUCCGCAAUGGGCGAAAGCCUGACGGAGCAACGCCGCGUGAGUGAAGAAGGUCUUCGGAUCGUAAAACUCUGUUAUUAGGGAAGAACAAAUGUGUAAGUAACUAUGCACGUCUUGACGGUACCUAAUCAGAAAGCCACGGCUAACUACGUG
rnacentral:rRNA from 1 species